GAUAAUGGCUCAGAUUGAACGCUGGCGGCAGGCCUAACACAUGCAAGUCGAACGGUAACAGAAAGCAGCUUGCUGCUUUGCUGACGAGUGGCGGACGGGUGAGUAAUGUCUGGGAAACUGCCCGAUGGAGGGGGAUAACUACUGGAAACGGUAGCUAAUACCGCAUAACGUCGCAAGACCAAAGAGGGGGGACCUUCGGGCCUCUUGCCAUCGGAUGUGCCCAGAUGGGAUUAGCUAGUAGGUGGGG
rnacentral:rRNA from 1 species